CCUGCAAUAAGAAGGCAUUUGGUGUCUGCUAUAAAAUGAUUUAAUGCCUUAUUGAAAGGAAUUAGGCUCACAGGAAAUGGUUUAGGACUCACACUGGAUUUUGCUGGAACUAGUACCAUUCAAACUCAGAUAUAGCCUGCACAUCUGUCUGCAUUUCAAUACAGCUACAAAAAUAAUAAAUUGGAUUGAAAAUGUCUUUGAUGUCCAUGAUCAAAAGAUCAGAUUUCUAAGACAAAAAUAUCAUCAGCCUCCGAACACCUUUUCUGACUUACAGGUUAAUGAUGUCGGUAUCUUACAAAUGAGAAUCCCUGGGGGAAUAUGAAGAUCAGCUAGCCCACUGAGACAGGGACUGUGAGCUGUGCUGGUUUAUUCUCCCUUUGUGGAGUCUACAACUACACACUUUUCAUCACUCACUGAAAUGUUUUACAAAGCACCUGCCAUCUCCUAAUUAUUUGAGAUAUACAAGAGGAUUCUGAAUGUAUUCACCACGAAGAAGUGAUAAAGUUUGAGGUGAUGGCUAUAUGCUGAUCACCCCAUUUUGAUCACUAUCCAAUGUGUGUAUGAAUCAGGACAUCAUACUGUACCCCAAAGGUGUGUACAGAUAUUACACCAUGAGAAAAAUGAAAUACGUGUAAACAACACAGCAAACACCUCCCAGAGAAGAAUAAGCAAACCAACACA